AUUGAACGCUGGCGGCAGGCUUAACACAUGCAAGUCGAGCGGAGAUGAGGUGCUUGCACCUUAUCUUAGCGGCGGGCGGGUGAGUAAUGCUUAGGAAUCUGCCUAUUAGUGGGGGACAACAUUCCGAAAGGAAUGCUAAUACCGCAUACGUCCUACGGGAGAAAGCAGGGGAUCUUCGGACCUUGCGCUAAUAGAUGAGCCUAAGUCGGAUUAGCUAGUUGGUGGGGUAAAGGCCUACCAAGGCGACGAUCUGUAGCGGGUCUGAGAGGAUGAUCCGCCACACUGGGAGUGAGACACGGCCCAGACUCCUACGGGAGGCAGCAGUGGGGAAUAUUGGACAAUGGGGGGAACCCUGAUCCAGCCAUGCCGCGUGUGUGAAGAAGGCCUUACGGUUGUAAAGCACUUUAAGCGAGGAGGAGGCUACUGAGACUAAUACUCUUGGAUAGUGGACGUUACUCGCAGAAUAAGCACCGGCUAACUCUGUGCCAGCCGCCGCAGUAACAC
rnacentral:rRNA from 1 species